AUUGAACGCUGGCGGCAUGCCUUACACAUGCAAGUCGAACGGUAACAGGUCUUCGGUUGCUGACGCGUGGCGAACGGGUGAGUAAUACAUCGGAACGUGCCCGAUCGUGGGGGAUAACGAAGCGAAAGCUUUGCUAGUACCGCAUAAGAUCUACGGAUGAAAGCAGGGGACCGCAAGGCCUUGCGCGAACGGAGCGGCCGAUGGCAGAUUAGGUAGUUGGUGGGAUAAAAGCUUACCAAGCCGACGAUCUGUAGCUGGUCUGAGAGGACGACCAGCCACACUGGGACUGAGACACGGCCCAGACUCCUACGGGAGGCAGCAGUGGGGAAUUUUGGACAAUGGGCGAAAGCCUGAUCCAGCCAUGGCGCGUGCAGGAUGAAGGCCUUCGGGUUGUAAACUGCUUUUGUACGGAACGAAAAGACUCUGGUUAAUACCUGGGGUCCAUGACGGUACCGGAAGAAUAAGCACCGGCUAACUACGUG
rnacentral:rRNA from 1 species